AGUCGUAACAAGGUUUCCGUAGGUGAACCUGCGGAAGGAUCAUUACUAAACAAAUCCAAAAAUAAUGUUGAACCGUGUGGUGAUUAGUGAUUGGUUGUGCGAUGUGGAUGAUUGGUGCGCUAUGUUGUUGGUGCUUGUGGGUAUGAGAUAGGCAAUGUGCGCACACCGUGUGUGUGUGUUUAUUGCCCAGCCAUCCCCUCGUAUCAGCAGCAUGCAUUUGUUAUCAAUCAGAUUCUUCUCUCACAAACAAUCCAUCACAAAUCACAACAAUUAUAAAACCAAUCUUGAUGUGCGAAUGGACAACAUAUAACAAAUUAAAUUUAUAAAAAGCAUAACUUUUAACAAUGGAUCUCUUGGCUCUU
rnacentral:misc_RNA from 1 species